AUGAAUAAUAAUAAAAGGAGAAAAGAAAAAAAUUCCAAAACGACGGCGUUUACUGUAAACGGCCCCCUCCAGCUCCUUUACGCAGAAAGCCUUUCUUCUACAUUCGAAAACUACAAUGGCGAUGCCGCCAUGACUCCAUCCCUUCUCCCCUGUUCUGAUUCAACUUUCUUGUUAACACCACUUAAAGUCUCCCUCUGA